AAAAAGGUAAGCUAAAUAAGCUUCUGGGCUCAUACCUCAUUAAUAAAGGUUAUAAUCCUUUCCUUUUUA
rnacentral:tRNA from 1 species